rnacentral:lncRNA from 1 species
AAUUUUACCAACAUUUUUGUGUGAUUUUUAACUUCAAAAUUAAGAAGAAAAAAAACACACUUUGUAUUUAUACCCCCCAUAAAAAAAUAAAAAAAAUUUUUUUGUAAAGAGCACACCAAAACCUUAAUCCUGGGGUUUUUUAUAAAACUUAUUUUUUCCCCUAAGGGGAGUAGUAUAGUACUUGAACGACUCCAGCGCCCCCCCCCAAAAAAAAAAAAAUUUGACCCCCAAAAAAUUACCCUCAUUUCAAGUAAAAGAGCCCUAAAUUUUCAUAAAAAAAAAAAAGCAAAAAAACACCCCAAAAAACACCAAAUUUUCUUACUCCCAAAAAAACCGGGAGAACUGACAGAGAAAGAAUUCUGUGGGAUUUAAGAGAAAAAAAAUCCCC